rnacentral:miRNA from 4 species
GGACUGUUGUCUGGCUCGAGG